rnacentral:tRNA from 1 species
ACUAAUUUGGCAGAUUAAUUGUAUCAAAUUUAGAAUUUGUUUAUAGGAUUUUUCCUAAUUAGUA